rnacentral:rRNA from 1 species
UACGUAGGGGGCAAGCGUUGUCCGGAAUCAUUGGGCGUAAAGCGCGCGUAGGCGGCCCGGUAAGUCCGUUGUGAAAGUCAAAGGCUCAACCUUUGAACGCCGAUGGAUACUGCCGGGCUAGAGUCCGGAAGAGGCGAGUGGAAUUCCUGGUGUAGCGGUGGAAUGCGCAGAUAUCAGGAAGAACACCCGUGGCGAAGGCGGCUCUCUGGUACGUGACUGACGCUGAGACGCGAAAGCGUGGGGAGCAAACAGG